rnacentral:lncRNA from 1 species
UUUUUCUAUAUCUGUUAAGCAUUCUUGUCCUUCUGCAUUAAACAGAGUAUAAUUUCUAACUUCUUCUAGGUUUUCUUUUAUAUUUUUGUUUUCUUUUGACAGGUUGCUAUUUUGGCAUUGAUUGUUUUGGCAAUUGUCGCAACAUGGUUCUGGAAGCAAUCUUGUUUUAUGUGUGUUUAGUGUUCUAUAUACUGUUGGCAAUGUUACUGUUUGUACUGGUGUAUAAGUUAAAUUUUUAAAGAGCAUUAUUCCAUCUCUUGUUAAGAGACAUCCUCCUUUAUUCUGUAUACAAAAUCUUAGUCCGAUAACAAAAUCUGAUCCUAUAUUUAAAUCUCUUGCUAAUAUUUUAUUAACAUUGUAAACUGGGUUAUAGAAUUUAUUGCAUGUAUUUAAAAAACUUAUUUGUGCUUUUUCUAUGUAAUAAUUAUAGAUAUUUUG